AUACUUACCUGGCAGGAGAGGUUGGUUUUUCCAGGGCGAGGCUUAUCCCUUAGCACUCUGGAUGUGCUGACCCCUGCGAUUUCCGCAAAUAUGGGAAACUCUACUGCAAUAUUUGUGAUAGUAGGUACUGCAUUUGGACUCUCCCUUA
rnacentral:snRNA from 1 species